GACGAACGCUGGCGGCGUGCUUAACACAUGCAAGUCGAGCGGUAAGGCCCUUUCGGGGGUACGACGAGCGGCGAACGGGUGAGUAACACGUGGGUGACCUGCCCUCAGCUCUGGGAUAAGCCUGGGAAACUGGGUCUAAUACUGGAUAUGACUCCACGGUGCAUGUCGUGGGGUGGAAAGCCUUGUGCGGCUGAGGAUGGGCCCGCGGCCUAUCAGCUUGUUGGUGGGGUGAGGCCUACCAAGGCGACGACGGGUAGCCGGCCUGAGAGGGCGACCGGCCACACUGGGACUGAGACACGGCCCAGACUCCUACGGGAGGCAGCAGUGGGGGAAUCUUGCGCAA
rnacentral:rRNA from 1 species